GAUGAAGAACGUAGUGAAAUGCGAUACUUGGUGUGAAUUGCAGAAUCCCGUGAACCAUCGAGUCUUUGAACGCAAGUUGCGCCCGAAGCCAUUAGGCCGAGGGCACGCCUGCCUGGGCGUCACACGUCGUUGCCCCCCCAUCUACUCCUUCGGGAUUGCGGGGGGCGGAUGAUGGCCUCCCGUGCGCCACGCCGCGCGGUUGGCAUAAAUGCCAAGUCCUCGGCGACGCACGCCACGACAAUCGGUGGUUGCGAAACCUCGGUUGCCCGUCGUGUGCGGUCGUCGCGCAUCGAGGGCUCGAAAAAAUUGCCGGGUUCCGGCUCGGCUUUCAACGCGACCCCAGGUCAGGCGGGGUUACCCGCUGAAUUUAAGCAUAUCAAUAAGGCGGAGGA
rnacentral:misc_RNA from 1 species